rnacentral:lncRNA from 1 species
CGCCCAGUUGAAGCUGAUGCUGCUGACAGUGGAAACCUUUUCUGGUCUAAGAAUGGUAAGCAGAAAUAACUAGCAUUUUUCCAACUCAGCACAUCUUACUUCAUCUCACUGAUGUCCCAAAUCAGCUGAGAUGGACCACAUGAACUUCAGCAAGAAGUGUGAAGUCCUGAACCUGUGACAGAACAAUUGCAUGCACCAGAAUGUGCUGAAGCCACCCAUCUGGAAAGCAGCUGACAGAAGCCACUGGGAGUCGUCAUCUUUGUGAGUUUGGAACUACUCUGUUUGUUUAUGUUGAUAAAAUUCACCAGGCUGUUCAAAAGAACAGUAAAAAUGGACAGAAGACUUGGAGGAAAAAAAAAAAAAAUUGGCUUAUAUUGAUGUCUUUUUUUUUUUAAAAAAAAAAAAAGGUGUUGAUUAAAAGAACUGGUUCCCA